GAUGAACGCUGGCGGCGUGCCUAAUACAUGCAAGUCGAGCGAACGUACGAGAAGCUUGCUUCUCUGAUGUUAGCGGCGGACGGGUGAGUAACACGUGGAUAACCUACCUAUAAGACUGGGAUAACUUCGGGAAACCGGAGCUAAUACCGGAUAAUAUUUUGAACCGCAUGGUUCAAAAGUGAAAGACGGUCUUGCUGUCACUUAUAGAUGGAUCCGCGCUGCAUUAGCUAGUUGGUAAGGUAACGGCUUACCAAGGCAACGAUGCAUAGCCGACCUGAGAGGGUGAUCGGCCACACGGGAACUAAGACACGGUCCAGACUCCUACGGGAGGCAGCAGGAGGGAAUCUUCCGCAAUGGGCGAAGGCCUGACGGAGCAACGCCGCGUGAGUGAUGAAGGUCUUCGGAUCGUAAAACUCUGUUAUUAGGGAAGAACAUAUGUGUAAGUAACUGUGCACAUCUUGACGGUACCUAAUCAGAAAGCCACGGCUAACUACGUG
rnacentral:rRNA from 1 species